rnacentral:rRNA from 1 species
UACGUAGGGUGCGAGCGUUGUCCGGGAUUAUUGGGCGUAAAGAGCUCGUAGGCGGUGUGUCACGUCGGCCGUGAAAACCUGGGGCUUAACUCUGGGCGUGCGGUCGAUACGGGCAUCACUAGAGUUCGGCAGGGGAGACUGGAAUUCCUGGUGUAGCGGUGAAAUGCGCAGAUAUCAGGAGGAACACCGGUGGCGAAGGCAGGUCUCUGGGCUGUAACUGACGCUGAGGAGCGAAAGCAUGGGGAGCGAACAGG